AUUGAACGCUGGCGGCAGGCCUAACACAUGCAAGUCGAACGAGUGGCGGACGGGUGAGUAAUGUCUGGGAAACUGCCUGCUGGUGGGGGAUAACUACUGGCAACGGUAGCUAAUACCGCAUACCCUCGGAUGUGACCAGCUGGGAUUAGCUAGUAGGUGGGGUAACGGCUCACCUAAGCGACGAUCCCUAGCUGGUCUGAGCGGAUGACCAGCCACACUGGAACUGAGACACGGUCCAGACUCCUAAGGUAGACAGUAGUGGGGAAUAUUGCACAAUGGGCGCAAGCCGGAUGCAGCCAUUCCACGUGUAUGAAGAAGACCUUCGGGUUGUAAAGUACUUUCAGCGGGGAGGCGUUACCCGCAGAAGAAGCACCGGCUAACUCCGUGCCAGCCGCCGAGGUAAUAC
rnacentral:rRNA from 1 species